CAGAUCAUGCCUUGGGCAUUUAUUAUUUACAUUAAUAACUUAAUUUGUGCGAUUCAAAUUGAUCUGA
rnacentral:tRNA from 1 species